AUAUGGGGCUGUAUCAUCUUCAAAUACUGGCAGCAGUUCCAAUAGCAACUUUUUAGCAUUGAAGAAAACUUUGUCUAAGAUUAGUAAGGGCAAAUAUGUUUUGGGGGAUUUACCUGUUCAAAUGAAGAUCAUAGUAGGCAGGGUUUGUCACCAGGAUAUAUUGGAUUCUGCAAGAAUAUGGGCUCAGGAAAUAUUAAAAAUACAGGAUAUGACUUUGAAACAGUGGAUUCUGUUGACAAUGAUACUGCUACUUCUGAUGAAAGUUUGAUGGAAGCAGACACUUCCUUAGAAGAAGACGCCUUGCAUAUUUUGAGUUCGUCUGAUUGGCCAA
rnacentral:misc_RNA from 1 species